rnacentral:lncRNA from 1 species
AAAGUAACUUUACAAAAGUGACUUUUCAGUUCGAUUGUUUGGUUGGCUAUAAAGUGAAACAUAAAAAAUUAUAGUUUCUAAUCUUAACUAUUUAAUUUUAUAUAAAGAAGUAAAAAAUAUAUACAAAGGACUUAUAAUUUAAAUUAUAUUUUAAUCAACAUCUUGAUCUUAAAUUUUAAAUUAAAUUUAUAAUUUAAAUUAAACAUUUAAAUUAAAAUUAAAAUUUGAGUUUAAAUCACAUUUUGGACCGCAAAACAUUUUCAUUUGAGCGGAACUAUAGCCGUACGUGUAAGAAUACUUAAUUGCACCGUUGGUCCCCCACUUUUACCACAUUUAAUUUUGGCUUCUACCUUUGUUUUAUUCUUUGAAAAAUAUAAGUCAUAUCUUUUUGCCUCCAAUCUUUAUCUUCAUACUAUAACUUUUUCUUCAAAAUACGCGUCCAUCGCGGCAAACUCUAUUUCUCUGCUCUUAAUAUCAUUUUCCACGCCAAUGACAAUUUUGAUCUCACAAAUAUUUUCUUUCUUUCUUAAAAUUUUUUUCUAAUAUCAUCAGUGUUGAACCAAACAUACGAUUGAAUUUUUUUAAAAAUUUAGAAAAAUCAAUUUUGGGAUUCGUAAAAAGCUA